GUAGCGGUGGAAUGCGCAGAUAUCAGGAGGAACACCGAUGGCGAAGGCAGAUCUCUGGGCCGUAACUGACGCUGAGGAGCGAAAGGGUGGGGAGCAAACAGGCUUAGAUACCCUGGUAGUCCACCCCGUAAACGUUGGGAACUAGUUGUGGGGACCAUUCCACGGUUUCCGUGACGCAGCUAACGCAUUAAGUUCCCCGCCUGGGGAGUACGGCCGCAAGGCUAAAACUCAAAGGAAUUGACGGGGACCCGCACAAGCGGCGGAGCAUGCGGAUUAAUUCGAUGCAACGCGAAGAACCUUACCAAGGCUUGACAUAUACGAGAACGGGCCAGAAAUGGUCAACUCUUUGGACACUCGUAAACAGGUGGUGCAUGGUUGUCGUCAGCUCGUGUCGUGAGAUGUUGGGUUAAGUCCCGCAACGAGCGCAACCCUCGUUCUAUGUUGCCAGCACGUAAUGGUGGGAACUCAUGGGAUACUGCCGGGGUCAACUCGGAGGAAGGUGGGGAUGACGUCAAAUCAUCAUGCCCCUUAUGUCUUGGGCUUCACGCAUGCUACAAUGGCCGGUACAAAGGGCUGCAAUACCGUGAGGUGGAGCGAAUCCCAAAAAGCCGGUCCCAGUUCGGAUUGAGGUCUGCAACUCGACCUCAUGAAGUCGGAGUCGCUAGUAAUCGCAGAUCAGCAACGCUGCGGUGAAUACGUUCCCGGGUCUUGUACACACCGCCCGUCAAGUCAUGAAAGUCGGUAACACCUGAAGCCGGUGG
rnacentral:rRNA from 1 species